rnacentral:rRNA from 1 species
GACGAACGCUGGCGGCGUGCUUAACACAUGCAAGUCGAACGGAAAGGCCCUGCUUUUGUGGGGUGCUCGAGUGGCGAACGGGUGAGUAACACGUGAGUAACCUGCCCUUGACUUUGGGAUAACUUCAGGAAACUGGGGCUAAUACCGGAUAGGAGCUCCUGCUGCAUGGUGGGGAUUGGAAAGUUUCGGCGGUUGGGGAUGGACUCGCGGCUUAUCAGCUUGUUGGUGGGGUAGUGGCUUACCAAGGCUUUGACGGGUAGCCGGCCUGAGAGGGUGACCGGCCACAUUGGGACUGAGAUACGGCCCAGACUCCUACGGGAGGCAGCAGUGGGAAUAUUGCACAAUGGGCGGAAGCCUGAUGCAGCAACGCCGCGUGCGGGAUGACGGCCUUCGGGUUGUAAACCGCUUUCGCCUGUGACGAAGCGUGAGUGACGGUAAUGGGUAAAGAAGCACCGGCUAACUACGUG